CAUUCUCUAGGCCAGCCUUUGGCUCACUUCCUCAGGGCAACUGCUAAAGUUCCUGAUGCUCAGAUCAUUACCGAGCAUCCAGCCAAGAGGGUCGGAAUUGUGUUUUCUGGAAGGCAGGCUCCUGG